rnacentral:lncRNA from 10 species
CAGAGAUGUUACUCCUCACUUCAAAGAAUGAAAUGAUUUAUCCUCUUUCUAAAUUUGGGCUGGCCAUAUGUGCUGCUUUAACCAACAGAAUGUGGUUGAAGUGACAUCCUGGGAAUUAAGUGAUAACGAGAUCCUAAGUGGACUGGUAGCUUCUGCAACUUUCCUCUCAAUGCUUACUCUUGGAUUAUCGUCUCUUGACACACAGCCCCCAUGCUGUAAGAAGUCCAAGCCACAUACAAAAGAAAUGUGAAAGAAAAUGAAGCACUUCCAUGAACACCCCCAGAGCAGCUCCCAGUCAGGAAUCAGCAUCAACUGCCAAGCCAUAUAAAAAGAAAAUAGUCAAAAAAUAUUCUGAACUCGAUGGAAUACUGUGGAGUAGAUGAAGAAAACUCUUCUGAGUAUCAUCAAGACUAUAAAGACCCUUCAGAAAAAAACUCUCUUGCAGACAUCUGUCCAUUCUUUAUAUGUGUAUGGGAUCUUAGUUUGUAAAUUUCUACUUCAUAUGUUUUUAUAAGAUGACUUUUUUAUUGUUCCAAUUACUUAUUAUUUUUGUUUAAGCUGGACUUAAUUUUAAGAUAUAUGCAAUCCAAUUUAAUAUUGCAUUCAGAAAGUAAGAACUCUGGCCUCAUUAUUUGCAUGACAUGAAUAUGAACACAAGAAAAAUUGGAUUGGACAAAAUUUAUUGCUUUUGCUUUAUUUUUUCCUGCCACAAAACCAUGUCCUCUGUCUUUGUUAGGGCUGGGGAUUGUUUGGACUUUGUUAUUCUCUAAUAAUAGGCAAAAUAAAGGUUAGACAUGGAGAAGAAAAAUCAUUAUGUGAACAUUAUAACUACGUAUGCUAACUUGAAUGUCAUUCAUCAUUGCGUUACUCACAAAGUGGCAAAUUUUAGUCUUCUUAUAUGAACAACUGGAUUUUAACAACUGGAUGGUUUUUAACAACUGGAUGGUUUUUCAGAGACUUCAGCUAUGAUUACUUCUCCCUCAAAAAUUUACAUUGAAUGAAAAUGACACCAAAUUACCUGAAAGUAUAAAAAGUAAUAGACUCAAGAAAAAAUUUGUUUCCCUAGAGACUAUCUGUUAAAGAUCUAUAAACAUUUUUAUAGAAAAUGAACCAUUUUAAAAUAAGCUUUUAUAAAACAUUUUCAUAAGAACCUCUAUAUCUUCUUGUGAUUUUAAAUUAAACUGCCUUAGUAAAAAUCAGAGAUUAUCUCUGACACAUUUUUUUGGUAGAAUGGAGAAAUGAAAGAUCCUCUGAUUUAUGGUGUGAUGUUUAGCAAGGUCGAUUAAAUCUAAGUGAUAAUCCUUGAGUAACACCAUUUAACACUUCACUCUUUACUCAUGAAGAGCAAGUCAAAAUAGUGAACUGAAACAUGAAAUGAUCAAUGGUCAAAUAUAAGAAAACAUCAAAUAAACACAAUAAAAAACAUCUGAGUCUCAUUUGAUUUUCUUCCCUCUACUCAUCCUGAGCUAUUUUUCUGGUAGUUUCUC